UCAUGCGAACAGACGGAAUUCACAAUUCUUGCUUUAAUUAUACUUCCUCGCAAGCAAAGUUGGACAUAACCUAAAAAAAUGCUCCAGAGGACAGCACAGGACGAGUACAAACCGACAAGUUUUGCUGGUCGUUUAAGUAAGAGGCCGUUCUGGCAAUUGUUGCGAUCGUUGAUAUCGAGUUACACUUCGUAUGUGUACACCGUGAUCUCACACAUGCGCAGUUGUUGCUAAAGCAUCCGUGACAUAGAACGAUCAGGUUAAAGUUCUUGCCAAACUCUCGUUAGACACGAGGAGAGGGAUAGCGAGAGAUUAACAAGAAAACGGAUAAAACAGAUGGCGAUGGAACGAAGAAAAGAGAGAAAUGGAUACGGAUGGAAAGGACCUCUAUGGACGAUCACGUUCUGCUCUUGGCGGCGCAGGGGGCGCAGAAGAAGAUUAGGACAGCGCCACCACCGAGAAUUAAGACAAGCAUGGCCAAGAUCGUCCAUACGGUGGAGAAGGGAGUGACACGGGUGGACAGUAAUCUUUUGGCCGCUGGCAAGUCUACAAUCUCGUCUGUGCUCAAACCAGAUCUCCUCGCCUUGCCGAGCAAGAACUUGAGACGUCUCGAUGCCUUCUCACAGGACAUAUCCUUCUAUUUCGGUUGUACUUUUAUCAAGAUAUCUAUUUAUCGUGUUCCCUUCGUGUUCAUCAUUGUUUUCUCAAUGUUGAAAAUGUUUCUUCUUUCGAAAUUUAUCCUUCGAAAAAUAAUCUUUAUUAUUCGUCGAUAUGGAACGAUGGAUUCUUAAAAAUUCGUACGAGAAUUUUAAGACGGUUUCUUUUUAAAGGUUAAAAUAGAAAAAAACUCUUGAUGAUGUUUUUCACGGUUAGUCCAGGAUACGGUCCAUCACCUGACAAUGACAAUGCAGGUGUCUCUGGCCGCAUAGGGAAUGGACGGGAUUGUGCUUGUCCACCUUGAUCUUUCGUGAAAAACUGUAAAAAAGAGUGAAACGUUUGAGCAAUUUUCUCACAAGAAUCAAACUAAUUCGUAAUUUAAUGUCUAAAUUUUAAAGAAGAAAUGUAAACAUAAACAUUUCCAUGUUCUUUGUGCUUCUCCUCUUUAUCCGUCGGUUAAUUACGUUCAACUUAAUUGAAGAGAUAUUUUUGCCAGAGCGUCUACAUCCUUUGAAAAGCUAGUGGAUUUAGAAGAGG